rnacentral:rRNA from 1 species
UACGUAGGGGGCGAGCGUUGUCCGGAGUUACUGGGCGUAAAGGGCAUGCAGGUGGUCCGACACGUUUUGUGUGACAGCGGGUGGCUUAACUACCCGAGGAUACGAAAGACGGUUGGACUUGAGGACUCGAGAGGGACACGGAAUUCCGGGUGGAGUGGUGAAAUGCGUAGAGAUCCGGAGGAACACCGAAGGCGAAGGCAGUGUCCUGGCGAGUGACUGACGCUGAGGUGCGAAAGCCAGGGGAGCGAACGGG